GUGACAGAGUAAACAGAGAGGUGACACUCCCAUAGACCUCCGUUGAAAAAAAUGGUGGUGCUUUUUAACGCCUGUUUCUGGAAUAUGGCAGUAGGAUUAGUCCCAAACACUGUCAUUUGGGCAUUGGACCUCAUUCACUUACAUUGAUGCGCGUCGAGUAGUUCCAGAGACUCUCUCUCUUUAAGGCUGCCCUGUCCCCCAAGAAUGUUCCAGGGAUGUGCCUUUCAUUGGUGUGGACUUCACAGGCAUUCUUCACAUUUAGCACCAGGGUCCAUGCAGCCUUUUGUCUCAGCAUAUGUAAGUACAAAAUAAGCUACCAGCUCUCUGUUCAUCUAAACAUUAUUCAAACUAUACCUUAAGUUAUUCCUGCUCUCUUUCUUUCCUUUGUAUGCCUGUCUCUGC